UGAAAGACAUCAAAUCAUAGAUCCAAGAAGACUUCAAAUCAGAAUAUAUAUUUUAAAAAGAAAUGAGCAACAACAACAAAACACAGUACACAUUUAGACACGUAAUAGUCAAACCAGACAAAUCCAAAUUUAUAGAUAAAAACUUGGCGCCCGCAGCUGGGCUGGGCCAGAACAGCCCACGAUGGCCAACUUCAAUGAUUGUGUGUCAGAUGAGAAGGUACCCAUAGCUGUUAAGUUCGUCACUCAUGCACCCCAGGGGAAUUUAAUGAACUAUUUAAUGAUGUUUGGCUACUACUUAAUAAUGACAAUCUCCUCAGGGAAGGGGCAGCACAUGCAUUUUCCCAGUAUAACAUGGAUCGGUUCAUGUCUGUGAAGAUAGAAGGAUAUGAAGAUCAGGUUUUAAUUACAGGGCAUGGUGACCUAGGUAACAGCAGAUUUUUAGAUCCAAGAAACAAAAUUUCCUUUAAAUUUGAUCACCUAGGAAAGAAGCAAGUGACCCCCACCCAGAAGAAGCUGAUGGAGGUCUUAAGUCUUGGAGAGAAUCUUGUGACUGUGCUUUACCAGCCUAUGUGAAAGACCAUUAUUCCAGCGGCUUCUGUACUGUUUAUGCGAAAACUAUCCAUGGGCAACAGACUAUUAUUGCAUGUAUUGAAAGCCACCAGUUACAGCCUAAAAACUUCUGGAAUGGUAGUUGGAGAUCAGAGCAGAAGUUCACCAUCACACUACCUACAGCCCAGGUGGUUGGAGUGCUUAAGACUCAGGUUCACUAUUAUGAAGAUGGCAAUGUUCAGUUGGCUAGUCAUAAAGAUGUACAGGAUUGACUAACUGUUUUGAAUGAAGCCCAAACUGCCAAGGAGUUUAUUAAUAUCACAGAGAAUGCAGAAAAUGAGUAUCAGACAGCAAUUAGUAAAAACUAUCAAACAAUGCCAGAUACCACAUUUAAGGCAUUGCGCAGGCAGCUUCCAUUUACCCACACCAAAAUCAACUGGAACAAGAUAGUCAGCUACAAGAUUGGCAAAGAAAUGCAGAAUGCUUAAAGGCCAAAUGUAGAAUUCUUCAGCAUGUGGAAAGACAAAGAUUCAAUGUGUGGUUAUAUGAUAAAUAAGUGAUUUAUAAACAAGAGUGAUAUUUUGCUAGGGCUUUCAAAGUUA